rnacentral:lncRNA from 1 species
GGUCACAAACCAAAUUGGACAAGAGCCAAAUCAAAUCCAAUGGUUAGGUUCAGUGUUCUCCUUACAGGGAAAUUUGAUCUGGUGCUGUGUGUCCUCUGGCCUCUGCAGGACCCGUCUGCGCAGAGCUUGGAGAUUUGUCUCUAAGCAGAGUCCGGGAUGGUGGCCCGUCCUGUCCGGCUCACCCAGGAGAAAGUGACGGGUGCCAUGGAGCAGGGGUUACGGCCAGGUCCUCAGCCGGCGUGCGGAGCCCUACCUCAGCAGGCAGGCGUGGGUGUGGGCCUGGCUCCAGUGCUGCCCUCUGCUGGUCCUGGGGAGCGGGACUGUGGCUGUGCACAGAGUGCACUGAGAGGGUUCCUGAGCGUCAGCGCCCCUGCCGCGGCCCAGGACUCCUGGGCUCCUCGCUUACCAUGUGCCGAGCCAGAUGCUGGAGGCGUAGGGGAGGCUGCCGCAGGGCUGGGCCUGAUGACCACCCACACAUCUGACGCCCCCUGGGCCCAAGUCCCCUGUACACCCCAGGGACCAUCUCUCCCUCUCUCAACUCCCUCUGUCUCGCUCUGGGUCCGUGUCCCCUGGCUUCACGGAUGUCUCCUUGCCCCUCCCGUAUGCUUGGGAAAAAGGCCUUCAAGCUCUGCACGGCGGGCCAGAGAAGCGGGACCCUUCCUCCACCCUGUCACCGGAUUUGUUCUCCCACUCUCUCCUGUCCUGGGCAGAGCUCACCUCUACUCUGCUGAGAACGAGGCCUCCGGGCGGGCUCACUUGCCUCAGUUCCGCUCUUUUGGCUGGAGCCCCCUGCCCUGAGCCUACCUUUCUCCGGGACCUUCUGGCUGGGCGGCGCCCCAGCUCUGGGGCUCUGGUGGCCCAUGGUCCCCAGGUCACCCCCACGCUGGAGAUGGGGAAACUGAGGUUCAAAGAGUUUAAGCAACGUGAUGGAGCCCAUUCAGUUA